CUUUACUGAAAAAAAUCAAAGUGAAAUUUUUUCUUUUUUUCUGCAAUCAAUUUCUUUUUAGCUUCAUUUUGUCACUCUAAUCCUCACUUUUUGGCUUGUGUUCCAGCGCUCUCUAAAAAGGUUUUAGGUUUUUGACUUUUUUCAAUUUUCACGGAUUGCUACUGCUGCUGCUGCUUCUUCUUCACAGUACACACUCCUCUUUUUGGUAUGUAGAAAAAAUUGUGAUAUUGGAUAUUGCGUUUAAAUUUAAUUCAAUUUUUUCCUCACUUCAGUAUUUCCAACACACUUUUCUCACUUAAAACUAUGUGUUUGCUUAUUUAAUAAUUUUGUACAAAAAACAAUUAUUGCUUUUGUCGGCCGUUUAAAACAUUUAACAUCUUGAUUUUCUUCAAUUGUGAUUUUUUCACUAUAUAUGUAAAACUGAAACACGAAAGCACUGAAGUCAAAGUAGCACCAUGCUCUUACGCCGGUGAGUAUAAGCCGGCUUGGUGAAUCCGCCAGACUAUGGAUUGGGGCCAACUGCGAUGACUGUUUGAUUGAUAUGACGGCAUAAAAUUGACCGCGAAAAAGUGAAUUCCAUUCAUUUUAGCCUUAUUAUAGUUACUCAAAAAAAUAUAACAAUAAGUUGGACAUUUUCCCAGAA